AGGAGGAGAGGAAGCAAACAGAACCAAAACCGAACCAAAAGCUUGAUUUGGAAGCAUCUUUCCACAUUAUCAAAUCAGUGACUAGCUGCCCGAUUCUGUGUAGGUUACUGAGGUCAUCUUCAUUGGCUUCUGAAACCAGCAUCAGCCAAAGGGUGGUAAAUCAAAUCAUACAAAGGGCUAAAGAAUGAAACAGAGCAAAACAGAGGAAAAUAGAUGAAUUCAGACGUACUUGGAGAUGAACUUGAAGAAGGAACAGAGGGAACCAAACUCAACUUCUCCUUCCUCGACCGCCCGCUAUGCCGCCUUUUCCUCAACUUUCCCAUCUCCUCCGCCAUACCAAAAUCCUUG
rnacentral:lncRNA from 1 species